UCCUACGGGAGGCAGCAGUGGGGAAUAUUGCACAAUGGAGGAAACUCUGAUGCAGCAACGCCGCGUGGAGGAUGACACAUUUCGGUGCGUAAACUCCUUUUAUUAGGGAAGAUAAUGACGGUACCUAAUGAAUAAGCACCGGCUAACUCCGUGCCAGCAGCCGCGGUAAUACGGGGGGUGCAAGCGUUACUCGGAAUCACUGGGCGUAAAGAGCAUGUAGGCUGGUUUGUAAGUUGGAAGUGAAAUCCUAUGGCUCAACCAUAGAACUGCUUCCAAAACUACUUACCUAGAGUAUGGGAGAGGUAGAUGGAAUUUCUGGUGUAGGGGUAAAAUCCGUAGAGAUCAGAAGGAAUACCGAUUGCGAAGGCGAUCUACUGGAACAUUACUGACGCUUCAGAUGCGAAAGCGUGGGGAGCAAACAGGAUUAGAUACCCUGGUAGUCCACGCCCUAAACGAUGCACACUAGUUGUUGCUAUGCUAGACAUAGCAGUAAUGCAGUUAACACAGUAAGUGUGCCGCCUGGGGAGUACGGUCGCAAGAUUAAAACUCAAAGGAAUAGACGGGGACCCGCACAAGCGGUGGAGCAUGUGGUUUAAUUCGACGAUACGCGAAGAACCUUACCUGGCCUUGACAUAGAUAGAAUAUUCCAGAGACGGAAUAGUGCUAGUUUACUAGAGCUAUCAUACAGGUGCUGCACGGCUGUCGUCAGCUCGUGUCGUGAGAUGUUGGGGUUAAGUCCCGCAACGAGCGCAACCCUCGUGUUUAGUUACUAACAGUUCGGCUGAGGACUCUAGACAGACUGCCUGGGCAACCAGGAGGAAGGUGAGGACGACGUCAAGUCAUCAUGGCCCUUACGGCCAGGGCUACACACGUGCUACAAUGGGGUAUACAAAGAGCUGCGAUACCGCGAGGUGGAGCAAAUCUCAUAAAAUAUCUCCCAGUUCGGAUAGCAGUCUGCAACUCGACUGCUUGAAGUUGGAAUCGCUAGUAAUCGUAGAUCAGCAAUGCUACGGUGAAUACGUUCCCGGGUCUUGUACUCACCGCCCGUCACACCAUGGGAGUUGAUUUCAUUCGAAGCGGGGAUGCUAAAAUAGCUACCUUCCACAGUGGAAUUAGCGACUAGGGUGAAGUCGUAACAAGGUAACCA
rnacentral:rRNA from 1 species